UACAGAGGUCUCAAGCGUUGUUCGGAUUCAUUGGGCGUAAAGGGUGCGCAGGUGGCGCCGUAAGUCAGGUGUGAAAUUUCGGAGCUUAACUCCGAAACUGCAUUUGAUACUGCGGUGCUUGAGGACUGGAGAGGAGACUGGAAUUUACGGUGUAGCAGUGAAAUGCGUAGAGAUCGUAAGGAAGACCAGUGGCGAAGGCGGGUCUCUGGACAGUUCCUGACGCUGAGGCACGAAGGUCAGGGGAGCAAACGGG
rnacentral:rRNA from 1 species